rnacentral:lncRNA from 1 species
ACUCAUUUUUAUUUCUCAACACAAUCGUCCAGAAACCAUCCUCAGGAGUCAGGGUGAUGUCUCCCUUCCUGUUGAUGGACUCUCUAACUACUCCUAAAUCCCACUCAGUCUUCCCUUUAACCUGAACCUCAAAGUAAAAUCUGCCUGAAGACAAACUCUGCUUUGAUAAAACAUUAACACAACGAUCAAAUCUCUCUGGAUUGUCUGGUAGAUUCUUCUCUUCAUCACCACAAUAAACUUGUUUUCCAUCAUCAGACAGGAUGAGAUCAGGAUGUGCUGUAUCAGGAUCGAGUGUCACAUCCACCUCACACUGCUGGACUCUCUUCAGCUCGGCCUCAAACAGCUUCUUCUUCAGUUUCCUGAGCGUCUCCUCCAGCUGGUCCACAGCUCUCACCACAGUCCCCUCAUAUGAAGGUGGAUGGACUCGGACUUCAGUCCAGUUCUUGGUGGGUGGAGCAGCGUUCAGGGUGGUGAAGUUUUGGAGGAGGUGGAGGUGGUCUUCAGAGCGUGAGAGCUGUUCCAGCUCAGAGCUCCUCUUCUCCAGCUCCCAGAUUUCCUGUUGCAGCUCUGUGAUGAAGCCUUCAGCCUGUUCCUCCGUCUCUCUCUGCUUCUCUUUGAUGGUGUGGAUGAACUCGGCCUGGCUUCUCUCUACAGAUUCUUUCAGAGCCGUGAAGACCUCCACACCUUCAGCCAUCUCUCUGUCUGCAUUCUUAUUACUGAGCUCCACUGACUCUUUGAGCUCUUCAAUCUUCAGUCGUCUCUCCUGGAUCAUCUGCUGAAUUUCAGCCUCUGUCUUCCCCAGCUCGACCUUCUUUCCUUCAUAUUCUUCUCUCAGAGGAACAACAUCAUGGGUCCUGUGGUCUGUAACACUGCAGAGCACGCAGACACACAUCUGGUCGCUCUUACAGAACAGCUCCAGCAGUUUGUCGUGCUUCUCACAUAUCCUUCCUUCCAGGUUCUCCACAGGCUCCAUCAGCUGAUGUCUUUUCAGACCUGACAUUGUCAGGUGAGGCUCCAGGUGAGUCUCACAGUAGGAGGCCAGACACACCAGGCAGGACUUGAGGGCCUUCAGUUUGGUUCCAGUGCAGACAUCACAGGGAACUUCUGCUGGUUUGGAAACUUGUUCCUUUGAGCUGCUGCUGCUGGCUUCCUGAUGAGCUGACUGUCUGAACUGAGCGGACAUCUCAGAGAUGAAGGUGUUGACGUGUAGCUCAGGUUUUGGGUUGAAAACCCUUUUACAGUUUGGACACUGACAGGAGGUGUUAGUCUUCCAGUGUUGAGAGAUGCAGGAUUUACAGAAGUUGUGUCCACAUGGUAUGGUGACAGGAUCAGUGAAGACAUCCAGACAGAUGGAGCACAGGAACUGAUCUUCAGUCAGCAGACAGCUGGCAGCAGACAUUUUUACAACCUGAGGAUUAUCAGUGGAAGAUCAACACAUUAAAACACUAAACAUAUACUGUAGAUCUAUUUUUGAGUCUAUCCUUGUCAUCAUCAUCGUGAUACUGUCAUGAAUAAUUUGGUGACUUUCAGUUAAAUUCUGGCCUAAAUCUGGAAAAAGGAAAGACUGCAGAGUGUUUUUGGAAAGAGCAGAACAAUAUUUUUAAAAUCCUGGAGACUUUGACUCAUCUGAACUCUGACCUCACCUGAAAGUCUACAGCAUCCUCUAACAAUGUAACAAGAAAGAAGGUCAAACUUUGAUCACAAUACUCUGUGUGUCAGUGGACUUGGACACACUAAUGAUCCUGAAAGUCAAGAAAACCUCCAGCUGUUAAAAAGUUCAAUAUCUGAUGAAGAUUUAAAGUCACAGAGUGAUCGCAUCUAAAGACUGUGAGCCAGUCAACCAGUUAGGAGACGUCCUCAGGUUGGCAGGUUGUGAUGACUCAUGUAUCUUGGCACUAAGGGAGAAUUUUAUUGUUCGUUAAUUUUGAACAGGAAAUAUGCCACCUUUGAGUUUGGUGUCAGACACACCCAUCCAUCAGGUUGGAAUGUAAGUAGCUGAACCAGUUAAUCUGGUGUUUUCUGUGUGAUGGCUGAAUAUACCUGCUGACUUAUCUGUGAAUGUGCCCAACAAACUCAAUCAGUGAGAUUUGAAAGCAUCAAAACUUCAUGACUGAAAAAGGAUGAUAAAAGUCUGUGAAAUAGCUCAACAUUAGCACUUUGUGGAGUUUAGACCAGCCUGAGGACAGUCACUGUAGUUUGGUUUUUGAAGCAGCUUUGUGGUCAAGUUUAACAAAAUACUGUUGACAAGUUAGUUUGUGUUUUUUCUGCUUUUUAAAGCAGUGUACUCACCGGUUGUUGAUGGUUUAUUCUCCUGAUGAAUUUGUCUUUACAGAGGAGCAAACAGACUCGUCCUGACGGCAGCGCUGCUGUGGUUAAGUAAACUUUCACUUUUAUCUCAGGGAGGGACAGGUUAAAGUAUGUCUUUGCAAAUCUAGGAGGAGGAGUGUAUAACCUGAUUGAAGAAAAUGCCCUGACACGACUCUUGAAAAAAGUGAGAAUUUAUUUCUUGUUUUUUCUUGUUAUUACCGAGACAGAGGGGAAGACAAGGACUAAUAACACACAGGGUGACAAAAAAACUAAACUAACAAGAACCUAUCAUGAAAUAACCCUCCCUAGAGAUGGAUUUCAGACGUGCCAAAAAGUUUAUUAGCAAAAAUCAACAAUUUCAAAAGCCUGAUAACAACUUAAGUUAACUUGUUAAUGUGUGAAAAUGGAGUAAAUUGCAACGUAUGGACGCAUGUCUGCUUCUGUAUUUUUUAAAAAUGUGAGAAAAUUACAAACACAAUAUCCCAAGUAGGUUACAUUCAAGAGAAUUAUGUUGUGCUGUUUAGGGCUGUGGUGCAUGGAAGUCGAUGAGUUUUCUUCCACAUUUCCAUAGUCGAUAUUAGAAAUAUGAAACUACAAGUAAAUGAAAGCUGGCCUUUGUUCACUUGUGAAGUUUGUGAUUCCUGUUGGUAUGAGGGACCACCAACACCACCAACACCAACCUUUACUCAACGAUUGUGGAGAAAAGUUUUUGGAUGCCUCGUGUGUUUGUGAUAUAUUGCAUGAGGAAUCACUUUUCAGUCUCCAAGUGCAAUUUCUUUUCGUACAAUCCAGGCCUGGGACGAUAACAAAUUUUGCUGGACGAUAAAUUGGCCCACAAAUUAUUGACGAUAAACAAUAUCAUUGUUGACAUUAUCUAGACCAAUAUAACCACUUGUGUAAUGUUAAUAUAUCAUAAUGCAAGUACACCCUUUCAGAUGCAACAAUCAAACCUUCAUUUCUCAUUGGACUGUCCAGAACGAAAACUUUUAAAUAUCCUAAAUAAAUAAAACAAACGAACAACAAUAAAAUGCUGGCUUUUCAACUGUAUUAAAUGGCAGCAUUUCUUUGGCAAUGUAGUGAACAACACUUUCUGUGAGCGCACAACAUUUUGCGCUGUUCUGACUGUAUCUUGCUUUAUCAACCAAACGCUUCAGUAAGCGUUGACUGUCGGGCCGACGGUUCUGCAUCUUGGGUUUUUUUUUUUCCCAGCUGGGAAAACUCGACCAGGUGAUAGUGUUUGAGGUGGGCAUGCAAGUUUGUGGUGUUGCCUUAUUUUGUUGCUACCAUUUUUAAACAAAGUUGGCAUACUGGUUCGUCUAUGUUGAUGAUCCCACCUUGCUCAUUGGGCUUGAAGCCGAAAUAUUCCCACACCGGGGCUGUGGCCUUUGGCUUUGCUCUUCCAUGCCCCUCACGUGGCUAACUAGUCUACUCUGUCUUGUGCGCUUGCGGAUCUGCGGCAUCUCCCCCAUCAGAUACAAAGAUCCUGAAAGACUGACAAGAUGGUUCACUCUCUUCAUUAGAUUCCGCUAAGGCACAAACGCGCCCAGGUGCUGACACCGAUGCACAGAGUGAACCAUCGUGUCAUCCAGCGUGUUUGGAGGCGCAAGACGAGGAAAACAAAUACACGCGUGCACAUGGCGAUAUAUCAAGGCCGGAAAAAUUAUUGAGUUCCUUUUCACUUAUCGUGCGGUUAAUUGAUUUAUUGAUUAUCGUCCAAGGCCUUGUACAAUCUCAACCAAAACACUAGUCCAAUCAUAAAAGCCAGUAAAAACAUCAUAUUGAUUAAGUUAAUAGAAAUAUGUAAGAGAUUUUGAAUAUUGAGUCAUUUUGGUACCACUGAUCACUAAUGACUCUAGUCAUGCCUUUUAUUGUAGACACAGUUUUGUUGUUGUCCUUUGUGUCGAUGUAAAGUCAGCAUGUUUGAAGAAAUUACUGCAUCCUGGUCCUGAUCCUGUGCAGGGAAAACCACCAAAUGACAUCACACGCGCUUCAGCAGCAGUGGUCUAACCAAACCAGUGUCCAGUGUUCCACCUGCACUGUACAUGGCCGACUCCUAGAUCAUGGCUUGAGGUCCGGCAAAGCUGUCAAGAAGCCCCUGAUCAGUGAGAGACCAAGCACACAAAAACUGGACAGCCAGGAACUAGUAGAAGAUUCUUUGGUGGGAUGAGUCCAGUUUCCAGUUUAAUCCUCCUUCUGUUAAUGUGAGUGUACGCAGAAGGUUAGGUGAAGCAUUAUCUCCAACAUGUACAGUAGCUACCGUCAAGCAUAGUGGAGGUGGUAUCCUGGUUUGGGGAUGUGCGAGUGCUGCUGGUGUUGGACAUCUCACUGUCUGUGAUGGUACACUGAACUCUGCAAAGUUUUGUGGCGUUCUUGAAACCCACAUGCUCCCUCCUGCACGUGCACAGGUCUGUCCAGGUUGAAACUGGAUGCUAGGUGAUUCCCAAAUCUGUGGAUUUGGUUUAUCAAGAAGUCCAUUUCAAACAUAGACUGUAUAUACUAUGGACAACUUGGCUUCGCCUUCAGCCAUCAUAUGAAUUUGAAGCCGAAUUGCUCUCGGUAUUUCCGGGAUAUUCUCCACUUCCUGGAACCACCACUUGUGCAGUAGCGUUGUACGCAUUCAGUGGGAGAGUCGCUGUGAUGACGCUCUGCUCAAACAGCAUAUGCCGCGGAUGAGCUACAUAAUCUUCAUACGCCCAUAGGCUGUAUCAAGUGUCAAUCAAAGAAAACAUGAACCCCCUAAUAACUUUUAAAAACGGAGCUGUACAGAAAAAAACGGACUUGAGCACAAACCAGUCUUACUGUAACUACAUGUCAACAUCACAACCAGGGGGGAGAAACAUUUAUAUUCUGUGUAAUUAAUUUCUAAAGUUUGUCCACAGCUCCAUAGGGAUUGCUGGAGGAGGAGGGAUUUAUGACCUAUACUGCAGCCCGUCACCAGAGGUCGCUGUUCUCGCGGUGGCUUCACCCAGCGAGGAGGCAGACAGCGUCCAUUCUAUAAACAGUUUAUAGUUUUAAAGCUUACACCAAAGAAACUGGAAGAAUUAAAGGAAGUGAUUCAAGAAUGAGACAGGGUUACCCCUCAACAAUGUGAAAGGCUGGUGGAGAAUAUACCAAUCAGGGUUCAAGCUCGACUGCAUGCUAACAGCAGGACUACUAAAUAUUAAUUUGAUGAUGUGAUGGUUUAUUUAGAUUUUGUCCAGUUUUGAACAAUCCUGUUAUUAACUCUGAUAUCGACAUAAUAGAGAACUAACAUGCUGAAACAUCAACGUUUUUACUUUUAUUUGUUCUUGUUAAUGAACAAAAACAUCAUUUGCAUUUUUUUAUGGAAGUGUCUCAAAUUAGUAAGGGUUUAUGGAUAUCUGUUUUUCAGGGUCAGUACAGGUUCUUGUCAUCAGUAGGUCACAACACUUGAAGCCUUGCUAUUUUAUCACCACAGUACAGCCCUGUAAUGUAAUUCCAGAUAUUAUUAUCAAGAAAAACAGUUAUAAAGUGAUAACUCAUUCUUGGUACAACCAUUAAAAUCAGACAUGAAUGAUGUGAAGUCAGUUUAUUACAUGUCUGUUCACAAGAGGAGUCAUUGAUGAAGGCAGACUGAGAAGAGACUUACAGAGAGACUUAAACUUUUUCUGAUCUCACACAGACGGUCGCUGAUCCAAAAAGUCAUGAUUUAUGUGUUUUUGCCUUUUCGGCCAUUAGAUCUGUGUUCUCAAUUGCAGAUAUACGAUAUGUUUUAAUGUUUUAGACCACUGAGUCGCCAAAGACCCAGAAUUCUCAUUUACUGAUUUAUUUGGAUGGACUGGUGUGGUCAAUUUUACAAUCAUCCAUUCAUUCAUUCAUCCGUGGUUAUUGUCGCUGCAAUAACUGGAACAGAAAGCAGACUGUUAGUUUAGUUGUUUAUUAUUGACAUAUCUGACAAAUACUCUUUGGGCUCUAUUUUCGUGCCUCGCCAGAGACGUGCCGCAGGUGCGGCAUAAGUCAGGUCCGCUGCGCCAACAAGGCGUUCCCAAGCACAAUUUGGUAUUUUUGUGAGCAGCGCAGCCCGGCGUAAGUAUCCCCCCUCCCUAACUCAGCUCCUCCCAGCGGCUUAAAUCGUUGCAAGGGAGGAGAGAGGGCGUGGAAUGGAUUUAACAGCCGAGACCAGUUUUCACCAAUCACAUAAGCUCCUCUCCUGGCCUUUAAAUCCGCCACCGGCGAGGCAUAUUACUAUUUUUGUGAAGUAGUCAGAGAGAUCAAGAGAUGUCUGAAGAUAGUAAUGCCACACGAUGGUGACAAAGGGCAGCAGCUCAACAAGUGUCACUGUAAGCGCUGCAUUGGGUAUCCUCCACACUCUCUCAUAUGAGCACAGAUGGAUUUGGUGUGUGUAAUGUUGGACCCACGGGUAAGAAAAACACCCUUUUCCACUAAUUAAGACACUUACAUAAAGUUGCGUAUAUUCAAACCUCACGUGACAAAGGUGGGUUGUGCGCACAGAUCACAACAUAAACUCCAAAAAUGGCAUUAAAAUUAAAAUAAAAUUAAAAUUAAAUGACGCAUCGCGCUCCGUGGCCUGGCUCUUUCGUUCAUAGAUGUUGGCAUAUAAAAUAAAUUUGGCUCUCAAAACUGAAUAUUAUAAUAUCCGUAUGUCGGCUUGAAGUAGAUAACGCAUCCGAGCACUGAAACAAAUCAUCUGUUCAGCCGCCGCUGCAGCAAGACGGAGAGAGGACAUGGAGACAUGUCCAGGUCGAGCUGCGCGAAAAUAAGAGGAAGAGGAAGAAAGAAAAGGAGGGAGACGAAUUACAUAUCUAGUUAACUUCAUCAUGUGUGUCUAUUUACUAGAUAUUUAAUUCAAUUAAAUGCGGUUUCAGCUGUGUUGAUUCGGUCAGGUUGUGUGUCCAAACGCGUGCCAAAUGCGCUCAUCAGAUCAGAUAUAGAUCAGAAUAUAUCUAUAUAGAUCUAGAUGUAUGUGCUGACUCAGAUUAUUAGUUGUUGAUUAUUAUUUAUUGCACUGAAAUGUGCCUGACACUGUGGAAACCUGUCGGUGAGGCAUUGGUGACGUAUGCCGAUACGCCGCUGGUCUACCAAAUUACCACUAGACCAGCUGCGCUCCGCCUGCACUGAAAGCUGACCAGGUUUGAAUCGGCGAGCUUUCAGUGCACUUUACACGACACUGGCGAGCACGAAAAUGUCACUGCGCCCGCUGAUUCUGUCGACACCUCCCCCUGCCACCCCACCACGCCCAGCUUGGCGGACCUCGGUUCGCCUCCGUGUGCCUCAGUCCACGAAAAUACCAAACUGGCUUUAUGCCGGGCUCCGCCAGACAAAAAUACAACUGCGCGGGGUCCGCCACCCUCCGUCGCCUCGCCGGCGUACAUGAAAAUAGAGCCCUUUGACAUUAGUGACAUUUGCUGGUACGAUCAGAGAAAGAUGAGGUCUUAAACUCAGCAGAGAGACUUUAAAGAUGAGAAUAAAGAAUGAUGAGUAGGAUUUGAGCUGAUUUAACAGUCUGGUGUGAAGGUAAAGAAGUUCUGAACACUGAUAAAAUAACACUUGAUUAAACUGAUCAAAACUGUAACAUUGGUUUAGUGAAGUAAGAAGUAAUGCUGCAUAUUUAAAAAAAGAUGGACUUAAAUUGUUGGUAUCCAUACUGAUGUGAAUUUUAAAGUAAAAACAUCAUAAUAAUGUAGAUUUAUUCUAUUAAUGAUGGUUAUCGUUGUUCAGAACAUCUACUCAGUGUGAUUGACCGGAGAGAUGAUCAGAGGAGCAGAGUUUUUAUCACCAUAGUUGUCGCAGGGACUUAAGAAUGGAAAGAGUUUUUCUUUAGAGGAGCAGCCGGUGAAGGAGUAGAUCAGAGCUGCAGCAUCAACGUCAUAAAAGGAGACCAGACCCUUUUCAUAGUCCACAAACACCCCCACCUUCUCAGGAACAGACUGCAGACAGAGAUUGACAGGAGGGUCAUCAAGAGCUGUGUACUCAUUUUCAUUUCUCAACCAAAUUGUCCAGAAACCUUUCUGAGGAGACAGAGAGUUUUUUCCCUUCCUGUUGAUGGACUCUCUAACUACUCCUAAAGUCCAGUCAGUCUUCCCUUUAACCUGAACCUCAAAGUAAAAUCUGCCUGAAGACAAACUCUGCUUUGCUAAGACCAUAAUGUAUUUACUGAAUCUCUCUGGAUUGUUUGGUAGACUCUUCUUCACAUCACCACAAUAAACUUGUUUUCCAUCAUCAGACAGGAUGAGAGCUGGAUGUGCUGUAUCAGGAUCGAGUGUCACAUCCACCUCACACUGCUGGACUCUCUUCAGCUCGGCCUCAAUCAGCUUCUUCUUCAGUUUCCUGAGCAUCUUCUCCAGCUGGUCCACAGCUCUCACCACAGUCCCCUCAUAUGAAGGUGGGUGGACUCGGACUUCAGUCCAGUUCUUGGUGGGUGGAGCAGCGUUCAGGGUGGUGAAGUUUUGGAGGAGGUGGAGGUGGUCUUCAGAGUGUGAGAGCUGCUCCAGCUCAGAGCUCCUCUUCUCCAGCUCCCAGAUUUCCUGUUGCAGCUCUGUGAUGAAGCCUUCAGCCUGUUCCUCCGUCUCUCUCUGCUUCUCUUUGAUGGUGUGGAUGAACUCGGCCUGGCUUCUCUCUACAGGUUCUUUCAGAGCCGUGAAGACCUCCACACCUUCAGCCAUCUCUCUGUCUGCAUUCUGAUUACUGAGCUCCACUGACUCUUUGAGCUCUUCAAUCUUCAGUCGUCUCUGCAGGAUCAUCUGCUGAAUUUCAGCCUCUGUCUUCCCCAGCUCGGCCUUCUUUCCUUUAUAUUCUUCUCUCAGAGGAACAACAUCAUGGGUCCUGUGGUCUUUAACACUGCAGAGCACGCAGACACACAUCUGGUCGUUCUUACAGAACAGCUCCAGCAGUUUGUCGUGUUUCUCACAUAUUCUUCCUUCCAGGUUUUCCACAGGCUCCAUCAGCUGAUGUCUCUUCAGACCUGACAUUGUCAGGUGAGGCUCCAGGUGAGUCUCACAGUAGGAGGCCAGACACACCAGGCAGGACUUGAGGGCCUUCAGUUUGGUUCCAGUGCAGAAAUCACAGGGAACUUCUCUUGGUUUGGAAACUCGUUCCUUUGAGCUGCUGCUGCUGGCUUCCUGAUGAGCUGACUGUCUGAACUGAGCGGAAAUCUCAGAGAUUAAGGUGUUGCUCUUCAGCUCUGGUCUUCUGAAGAAAACCUCUUUACAGUUUGGACACCGAUGUGGAACACUGACAUUCCAGUGUUGAGAGAUGCAGGAUUUACAGAAGUUGUGUCCACAUGGUAUGGUGACAGGAUCAGUGAAGACAUCCAGACAGAUGGAGCACCGGAACUGAUCUUCAGUCAGCAGACAGCUGGCAGCAGACAUUUUUACAACCUGAGGAUUAUCAGUGGAAGAUCAACACAUUAAAACACUAAACAUAUACUGUAGAUCUAUUUUUGAGUCUAUCCUUGUCAUCAUCAUCGUGAUACUGUCAUGAAUAAUUUGGUGACUUUCAGUUAAAUUCUGGCCUAAAUCUGGAAAAAGGAAAGACUGCAGAGUGUUUUUGGAAAAAGCAGAACAAUAUUUUUAAAAUCCUGGAGACUUUGACUCAUCUGAACUCUGACCUCACCUGAAAGUCUACAGCAUCCUCUAACAAUGUAACAAGAAAGAAGGUCAAACUUUGAUCACAAUACUCUGUGUGUCAGUGGACUUGGACACACUAAUGAUCCUGAAAGUCAAGAAAACCUCCAGCUGUUAAAAAGUUCAAUAUCUGAUGAAGAUUUAAAGUCACAGAGUGAUCGCAUCUAAAGACUGUGAGCCAGUCAACCAGUUAGGAGACGUCCUCAGGUUGGCAGGUUGAGAUGACUCAUAUAUCUUGGCACUAAGGGAGAAUUUUACUGUUCGUUAAUUUUGAACAGGAAAUAAGCCGACUUUGAGUUUGGUGUCAGACACACCCAUCCAUCUUGUUAAAACAGGAACAACAAUUCUUGUUAUAAAGUCAAACAGCAGGAACUCUGAUAUAUAAAAAAGCUUCAAGUUGAAACAUGAACAAGAAUUCUGGUUACGUCACUUUCUGAACUCAUGAAACCAGCGGGCGUUUUCCAACAGCAGAGAGCUCGGCUGGUUUGUAAGUAGCUGAAUGAGUUAAUCUGGUGUUUUCUGUGUGAAGGCUGAAUAUACCUGCUGACUUAUCUGU